UGUCUCGAUAAAAAGUCUAUUUGGUUCGAUGAAAAUUGUGGCAAAAGGAGUUGUUCGUAGUAUGGAACCAAAUACUGAAGUUGGAAGAUAGGUGUUGGGACCAAAUUGGUGUGAAAUACAAGUUCUAGUUGUCCUAGAAUGGGAAGAAAGUUUGAUUAGGUCAUAUGAUCUUUUACAAAAGUUUGAGGAUGUACUUGGAGGAAUGAUAGCUUGACCUUGUCAUCUGUUGACGGCUAAUGAAGAAGACUUCUACUAGGUGCAUUUGGAGUCUUGUGGCACAAUAGUAAGGUGACAAGAAUAUUGGAUUUUGUUUAAGAUGUGAUGGUUGAAGAAUGAAGAUGCACCACAAGUUUAGUUAUGUUUUGCUUUAAGAGAUUUAAUUUUUUACUAGUUCUUAAACUAAAUACAUUGGGUACAUUUGUAAUUGAUAUAUAGAU